UGGACACAUUUUAACUGCACAAACAUUCUGAUAAUAAAGUGUUCUAAAUGAUGGAUUAUAUCACUUCCUGGAGUUUAUUAUUCAUUAUAUGUUUCCAUGGAGUUUGGAGUGAGAUCAAACUGGAGCAGUCUCCCUCUGAGGUGAAGAGGCCUGGAGAGAGAGUGAAGCUGUCAUGCAUCAUAUCUGGUUAUGACCUGACAGACUACUAUUUGCACUGGAUACGACAGAGGCCAGGGAGAGCUCCGGAGUGGAUUGGGAGGAUGAACACAGGCUCAAACUCUGCUCGCUAUGCCAGUUCUUUCCAAAGUCGUUUCAUCAUGACUGAAGAAGAUUCCAGCAGCAAACAGUACCUUGAAAUCAACAGCCUGACAGCAGAAGAUUCUGCUGUUUACUUCUGUGCCCGACAAAGCACAGUGACAGAAAACAGAAGAACAGCUGUACAAAAACCUCAAAUAGUCAUCUUUCAGUUCAACAUUUUGUAAUUUUCACCCUCUUUGGAGCUAAAAGAGGCCACCCAAACACAUUAGAUAUCAUUGGAAAAGCCAGGCUGUUCUCUAUUGAGAACAUCAGGACUUAUUAGGUUAGCUGAAAUAAGUCAAACGAUAUAGACAAAAAACAAAUAUCUAUUACAGAGGACAUAAAUGAAUAGGCUGGAUGUGAGGAUGAGAUAGCAUGCACGAGAUGUUGAGAUGAUGAUGAUGAUAGAGCAGUUUUACUAACAGAAAGUGAUGUUUUUCUUCUUUAUCAGUUUUCUUUGAAGAGAACCAGGAGCCAGAAUGUCCUUCUAGUGAGUCACACAGAUGAACUUUUACAGCUUUUCAAUUAACGUACAGUAAAAAAAUUAGAUACAGAGGGUCAGAUGGGGUCUUAGAAAAGGACUGAAGUGGAUUCUGACUAAGUUAUUAACUAAUACUAUAUUUUGCCAAUUUAGCACAGGACCAAAAACUCACAGUGAUUGUUGAGUUGUUUGAGCUGCUGUACAACCUCCAACAGUUUUCAUCAGUACAAAAAAAA